GUCUAUGGCCACACCACCCUGAACGUGCCGAUCUCCUCUGAUCUCGGAAGCUAAGCAGGGUUUGACCUGGUUAGUACUUGGAUGGGAGACAUGAUUGCAGUAUAAC
rnacentral:rRNA from 1 species